GCCGCCGCCAGCGUGACGUCACGACGCCGCGCCACAGGCCCAGCGCCCCGUGCCGCCGCAGCGCCCAGGGAGACGGGCUAGCGGCGGAUGGCCCCUAAACUUUAGGUUCGAGCGCGCUGAGGGUGUGGGGUCAGCUCAGCCCAAGCUACAGACACCGUUCCGGCCUGCCGAACCCAGAAACCCAAAGCGCGAAGCACACUUGCCGCGCUCAGCCCUAACUGCGGAGUCACCGCCGGCUUUCCCUCCUUGAAUUCCCAUUGUGGGGCUUCGCUCCGGACCGCUGCGGCAGUGACGUCAGCGGACCGCGCGGCACCAGCCUUCGCUCUACGACUACGUCACUGCUCGUCCCCUGGCGGGGCCGAGCUCCAGCGCUCCCUGGGCAGCUUCUGGGACUUCAGCCUGAACAAC